rnacentral:rRNA from 1 species
UAAGAUGAGGUUUCACUACAAGGCCCCCUAAAGACUAUGGGGUUGAUAGGCCAGACCUGGAAGCAUUGCAAAAUGUUAAGGCUACUGGUACUAAUAGGCCAAAACAAACACACAC